CAGCAGCCGCGGUAAUACCGGCGGCCCGAGUGGCGGUCACUAUUAUUGGGCUUAAAGCGUCCGUAGCCGGGUUGGGAAGUCCUCCGGGAAAUCUGGCCGCUUAAAGGUCAGAAUGCCGGAGGAUACUCCCAGCCUAGGGAGCGGGGGAGGCCGAGGGUAUUCCCGGAGUAGGGGUGAAAUCCUAUAAUCCCGGGAGGACCACCUGUGGCGAAGGCGCUCGGCUGGAACGCGUCCGACGGUGAGGGACGAAGGCCAGGGGAGCAAACCGGAUUAGAUGCCCGGGUAGUCCUGGCUGUAAACGAUGCGGACUUUGUGUCGGACAAGCUAUGAGCUUGUCCGGUGCCGGAGGGAAACCGUUAAGUCCGCCGCCUGGGGAGUACGGCCGCAAGGCUGAAACUUAAAGGAAUUGGCGGG
rnacentral:rRNA from 1 species